rnacentral:rRNA from 1 species
CAAGCGUUAUGCGGAAUUACUGGGCGUAAAGCGUGCGUAGGUGGUUUUUUAAGUCGGUUGUGAAAGCCCUGGGCUCAACCUGGGAAUGGCAGUGGAUACUGGAAAGCUAGAGUGCGGGAGAGGGUAGUGGAAUUCCCGGUGUAGCAGUGAAAUGCGUAGAUAUCGUGAGGAACACCAGAGGCGAAGGCGGCUUCCUGGACAAUUGCUGACGCUCAGGCACGAAAGCGUGGGGAGCAAAAGGG